rnacentral:rRNA from 1 species
GGGUGAGUAACGCGUGGGAAUCUACCUAGUUCUACGGAACAACAGAGGGAAACUUCUGCUAAUACCGUAUACGCCCUAUGGGGGAAAGAUUUAUCGGAAUUAGAUGAGCCCGCGUAAGAUUAGCUAGUUGGUGGGGUAAUGGCCUACCAAGGCGACGAUCUUUAGCUGGUCUGAGAGGAUGAUCAGCCACACUGGGACUGAGACACGGCCCAGACUCCUACGGGAGGCAGCAGUGGGGAAUAUUGGACAAUGGGCGCAAGCCUGAUCCAGCCAUGCCGCGUGAGUGAUGAAGGCCUUAGGGUUGUAAAGCUCUUUCAGUAGGGAAGAUAAUGACGGUACCUACAGAAGAAGCCCCGGCUAACUUCGUGCCAGCAGCCGCGGUAAUACGAAGGGGGCUAGCGUUGUUCGGAUUUACUGGGCGUAAAGCGCACGUAGGCGGGUUGUUAAGUCAGGGGUGAAAUCCUGGAGCUCAACUCCAGAACUGCCUUUGAUACUGGCAAUCUAGAGUCCGGAAGAGGUGAGUGGAACUCCUAGUGUAGAGGUGGAAUUCGUAGAUAUUAGGAAGAACACCAGUGGCGAAGGCGGCUCACUGGUCCGGUACUG